AUUGAACGCUGGCGGCAGGCCUAACACAUGCAAGUCGAACGGUAACAGGAAGAAUCUUGCUUCUUUGCUGACGAGUGGCGGACGGGUGAGUAAUGUCUGGGAAACUGCCUGAUGGAGGGGGAUAACUACUGGAAACGGUAGCUAAUACCGCAUAACGUCGCCAGACCAAAGAGGGGGACCUUCGGGCCUCUUGCCAUCGGAUGUGCCCAGAUGGGAUUAGCUAGUAGGUGGGGUAACGGCUCACCUAGGCGACGAUCCCUAGCUGGUCUGAGAGGAUGACCAGCCACACUGGAACUGAGACACGGUCAAGACUCCUACGGGAGGCAGCAGUGGGGAAUAUUGCACAAUGGGCGCAAGCCUGAUGCAGCCAUGCCGCGUGUAUGAAGAAGGCCUUCGGGUUGUAAAGUACUUUCAGCGGGGAGGAAGGGAGUAAAGUUAAUACCUUGGCUCAUUGACGUUACCCGCAGAAGAAGCACCGGCUAACUCCGUG
rnacentral:rRNA from 1 species